GGAGCGUUCUGUAAGCCUGCGAAGGUGUGCUGUGAGGCAUGCUGGAGGUAUCAGAAGUGCGAAUGCUGACAUAAGUAACGAUAAAGCGGGUGAAAAGCCCGCUCGCCGGAAGACCAAGGGUUCCUGUCCAACGUUAAUCGGGGCAGGGUGAGUCGACCCCUAAGGCGAGGCCGAAAGGCGUAGUCGAUGGGAAACAGGUUAAUAUUCCUGUACUUGGUGUUACUGCGAAGGGGGGACGGAGAAGGCUAUGUUGGCCGGGCGACGGUUGUCCCGGUUUAAGCGUGUAGGCUGGUUUUCCAGGCAAAUCCGGAAAAUCAAGGCUGAGGCGUGAUGACGAGGCACUACGGUGCU
rnacentral:rRNA from 1 species